rnacentral:rRNA from 1 species
UACAGAGGGUGCAAGCGUUGUUCGGAAUUAGUGGGCGUAAAGCGCGUGUAGGCGGCUUUGUAAGUCGGUUGUGAAAGCCCUCAGCUCAACUGAGGAAGUGCGCCCGAAACUGCAGAGCUUGAGUGCCGGAGAGGGAGGCGGAAUUCGCCAAGUAGAGGUGAAAUUCGUAGAUAUGGGGAGGAACACCGGUUGCGAAGGCGGCCUCCUGGACGGCAACUGACGCUGAGACGCGAAAGCGUGGGGAGCAAACAGG